CCUACGGGAGGCAGCAGUGAGGAAUAUUGGUCAAUGGACGAGAGUCUGAACCAGCCAAGUAGCGUGAAGGAUGACUGCCCUAUGGGUUGUAAACUUCUUUUAUAAAGGAAUAAAACGAGGCACGUGUGCCUUUUUGCAUGUACUUUAUGAAUAAGGAUCGGCUAACUCCGUGCCAGCAGCCGCGGUAAUACGGAGGAUCCGAGCGUUAUCCGGAUUUAUUGGGUUUAAAGGGAGCGUAGAUGGGUUGUUAAGUCAGAUGUGAAAGUUUGCGGCUCAACCGUAAAAUUGCAAUUGAUACUGGCAGUCUUGAGUACAGUAGAGGUAGGCGGAAUUCGUGGUGUAGCGGUGAAAUGCUUAGAUAUCACGAAGAACCCCGAUUGCGAAGGCAGCUUACUAAACUGUGACUGACAUUGAUGCUCGAAAGUGUGGGUAGCAAACAGGAUUAGAUACCCCUGUAGUC
rnacentral:rRNA from 1 species